UUAAAUUUCAAGCAUAUUCGAAGUUUGGGUGGAAAACCGAAAAAAUGGUUAAAAUUUCAAUAUACAAGCGAACAUUUUCGUUCCGCCAUUGUUUUUUUAGUGACUCAAAUGAUCGGGCUCCGUUUUUCUUCCUAUAAUUUCGCAACAAAGUUCCAAAGUUUCAUUUUAUACAAUCGUUGUUUGAACGCGGAACCAUCGAGAGAUAUGCGGAGAAUAUCUAUCAUCAACAGCAGCGGAAAAAUGUACCGAAAAGACCACCCGAUAAGAACAAAAAAGAUCCGGAUUUGGAACUCAAGUUUGAAGAGAUAUUCAAAGCGUAAAAGGGAUAUGAAUCAGCUCCACCAAAAAUCGAUUUGAACACAGUGAUGUUAGGUCCACAGAAAAUUGGAAAUCGAUUUUGUGCUUCUUCCGAAACCCAAAAACACUACCGGAAUUGCCCAGUUCUUAUCGGAGGAUCCACUAAAAACAGUACAACUUCCCGAUCGGAUGUUGGUGUACGAAUGUUGGAGAGUCUGAAACACAGCUGGGGCCCAGAAUAACUUUGUUACCCGUUUCGAUAUAAUCCAAGCUAUGGGUAAAAGCAUCAGGUUAUAUUGGGUCUGGAUACUCACAAGAACAAAUUGGAAUCAGCUUCAAGAACCGAUGGACGUUCCUGUUGAAAGGCAAGUGGCUGUUUGCCACUCGUUUGGUCCCCCAG